AUUGAACGCUGGCGGCAGGCUUAACACAUGCAAGUCGAGCGAGCGGCGGACGGGUGAGUAAUGUCUGGGAAACUGCCUGAUGGAGGGGGAUAACUACUGGAAACGGUAGCUAAUACCGCAUACCAUCAGAUGUGCCCAGAUGGGCUUAGCUAGGAGGUGGGGUAAUGGCUUACCUAGGCGACGAUCCCUAGCUGGUCUGAGAGGAUGACGAUCCACACUGGAACUGAGAACCGGUCCAGCCUCCUACGGGAGGCAGCAGUGGGGAAUAUUGCACAAUGGACGCAAGCCUGCUGCAGCAAUGCCGCGUUUGUGAAGAAGGCCUUCGGGAUGUAAACCACUUUCAGCGAGGAGGCGUUACUCGCAGAAGAAGCACCGGCUAACGCCGUGCCAGCAGCCGCGGUAAUAC
rnacentral:rRNA from 1 species